AGAGUUUGAUCCUGGCUCAGAACGAACGCUGGCGGCAGGCCUAACACAUGCAAGUCGAGCGCUUUAACCACUUCGGUGGAGCGAGAGCGGCGGACGGGUGAGUAACGCGUGGGAAUAUGCCCUUCACUGCGGAAUAGCCUCGGGAAACUGAGAGUAAUACCGCAUACGCCCUUCGGGGGAAAGAUUUAUCGGUGAAGGAUUAGCCCGCGUUGGAUUAGGUAGUUGGUGGGGUAAAAGCCUACCAAGCCGACGAUCCAUAGCUGGUUUGAGAGGAUGAUCAGCCACACUGGGACUGAGACACGGCCCAGACUCCUACGGGAGGCAGCAGUGGGGAAUCUUAGACAAUGGGGGAAACCCUGAUCUAGCCAUGCCGCGUGAGUGACGAAGGCCUUAGGAUCGUAAAGCUCUUUCGCCAGGGAAGAUAAUGACGGUACCUGGUAAAGAAACCCCGGCUAACUCCGUGCCAGCAGCCGCGGUAAUACGGAGGGGGUUAGCGUUGUUCGGAAUUACUGGGCGUAAAGCGCGCGUAGGCGGACUAUUAAGUUAGUGGUGAAAUCCCAGGGCUCAACCCUGGAACUGCCUCUAAUACUGGUAGUCUUGAGUUCGAGAGAGGUGAGUGGAAUUCCGAGUGUAGAGGUGAAAUUCGUAGAUAUUCGGAGGAACACCAGUGGCGAAGGCGGCUCACUGGCUCGAUACUGA
rnacentral:rRNA from 1 species